AUUGAACGCUGGCGGCAGGCUUAACACAUGCAAGUCGAGCGAGCGGUGGACGGGUGAGUAAUGUCUGGGAAACUGCCUGAUGGAGGGGGAUAACUACUGGAAACGGUAGCAAAUACCGCAUACCUCCAGAUGUGCCCAGAUGGUAUUAGCUAGUAGGUGGGGUAAUGUCUCACCUAGGCGACGAUCCUUAGCUGGUCUGAGAGGAUGACCAGCCACACUGGAACUGAGACACGGUCCAGACUCCUACGUGAGGCAGCAGUAGGGAAUAUUGCGCAAUGGGCGCAAGCCUGAUGCAGCCAUGCCGCGUGUGUGAAGAAGGCCUUCGGGUUGUAAAGCACUUUCAGCGGGGAGGCGGGACUCGAAGAGGAAGCACCGGCUAACUCCGUGCCAGCCGCCGCGGUAAUAC
rnacentral:rRNA from 1 species